GAUGAACGCUGGCGGCGUGCUUAACACAUGCAAGUCGAACGAAGACAUCUGAGUGCUUGCACUUGGAUGGACUGAGUGGCGGACGGGUGAGUAACGCGUGGGUAACCUGCCUUAUACAGGGGGAUAACAGUUGGAAACGACUGCUAAUACCGCAUAAGCGCACGGUAUCGCAUGAUACAGUGUGAAAAACUCCGGUGGUAUAAGAUGGACCCGCGUCUGAUUAGCUUGUUGGUGAGGUAACGGCCCACCAAGGCGACGAUCAGUAGCCGGCCUGAGAGGGUGAACGGCCACAUUGGGACUGAGACACGGCCCAAACUCCUACGGGAGGCAGCAGUGGGGAAUAUUGCACAAUGGGGGAAACCCUGAUGCAGCGACGCCGCGUGAGUGAUGAAGUAUUUCGGUAUGUAAAACUCUAUCAGCAGGGAAGAUAAUGACGGUACCUGACUAAGAGCACCGGCUAAAUACGUAGCCAGCAGCCGACGG
rnacentral:rRNA from 1 species